rnacentral:rRNA from 1 species
UACGUAGGGUGCGAGCGUUGUCCGGAAUUAUUGGGCGUAAAGAGCUCGUAGGCGGUGUGUCGCGUCGGUCGUGAAAACUUGGGGCUUAACCCUGAGCUUGCGGUCGAUACGGGCAUCACUGGAGUUCGGCAGGGGAGACUGGAAUUCCUGGUGUAGCGGUGAAAUGCGCAGAUAUCAGGAGGAACACCGGUGGCGAAGGCGGGUCUCUGGGCAGUAACUGACGCUGAGGAGCGAAAGCGUGGGGAGCGAACAGG